rnacentral:rRNA from 1 species
GAUGAACGCUGGCGGCGUGCCUAAUACAUGCAAGUCGAGCGAACAGACGAGGAGCUUGCUCCUCUGACGUUAGCGGCGGACGGGUGAGUAACACGUGGAUAACCUACCUAUAAGACUGGGAUAACUUCGGGAAACCGGAGCUAAUACCGGAUAAUAUAUUGAACCGCAUGGUUCAAUAGUGAAAGACGGUUUUGCUGUCACUUAUAGAUGGAUCCGCGCCGCAUUAGCUAGUUGGUAAGGUAACGGCUUACCAAGGCAACGAUGCGUAGCCGACCUGAGAGGGUGAUCGGCCACACUGGAACUGAGACACGGUCCAGACUCCUACGGGAGGCCGCAGUAGGGAAUCUUCCGCAAUGGGCGAAAGCUUGACGGAGCAACGCCGCGUGAGUGAUGAAGGUCUUCUGAUCGUAAAACUCUGUUAUUAGGGAAGAACAAAUGUGUAAGUAACUAUGCACGUCUUGACGGUACCUAAUCAGAAAGCCACGGCUAACUACGUG